CCUACGGGAGUCAGCAGUGAGGAAUAUUGGUCAAUGGGCGAGAGCCUGAACCAGCCAAGUCGCGUGAAGGAUGAAGGAUCUAUGGUUUGUAAACUUCUUUUAUAUGGGAAUAAAGUGAGGAACGUGUUCCUUUUUGUAUGUACCAUAUGCAUAAGCAUCGGCUAACUCCGUGCCAGCAGCCGCGGUCAUACGGAGGAUGCGAGCGUUAUCCGGAUUUAUUGGGUUUAAAGGGUGCGUAGGGGGUUAAUUAAGUCAGCGGUGAAAGGUUGUGGCUCAAACAUAAAAUUGCCGUUGAAACUGGUUGACUUGAGUAUAUUUGAGGUAGGCGGAAUGCGUGGUGUAGCGGUGAAAUGCAUAGAUAUCACGCAGAACUCCGAUGGCGAAGGCAGCUUACUAAACUAUAACUGACACUGAAGCACGAAAGCGUGGGGAUCAAACAGGAUUAGAUACCCGAGUAGUC
rnacentral:rRNA from 1 species